rnacentral:rRNA from 2 species
AUACCAUGCUGAAUAUACCGGUUCUCGUUAGAUCACCGAAGUCAAGCAUCAUUGGGCGCGGUCAGUACUUGGGUGGGUGACCACCUGGGAACACCGCGUGCCGUU